rnacentral:rRNA from 1 species
AGUGAACGCUGGCGGUAGGCCUAACACAUGCAAGUCGAACGGCAGCACAGUAAGAGCUUGCUCUUACGGGUGGCGAGUGGCGGACGGGUGAGGAAUACAUCGGAAUCUACUUUUUCGUGGGGGAUAACGUAGGGAAACUUACGCUAAUACCGCAUACGACCUACGGGUGAAAGCAGGGGAUCUUCGGACCUUGCGCGAUUGAUUGAGCCGAUGUCGGAUUAGCUAGUUGGCGGGGUAAAGGCCCACCAAGGCGACGAUCCGUAGCUGGUCUGAGAGGAUGAUCAGCCACACUGGAACUGAGACACGAUCCAGACUCCUACGGGAGGCAGCAGUGGGGAAUAUUGGACAAUGGGCGCAAGCCUGAUCCAGCCAUACCGCGUGGGUGAAGAAGGCCUUCGGGUUGUAAAGCCCUUUUGUUGGGAAAGAAAAGCAGCAGGUUAAUACCCCGCUGUUCUGACGGUACCCAAAGAAUAAGCACCGGCUAACUUCGUG